rnacentral:rRNA from 1 species
CCAAAAACAUAGCCCUCAAAACAAUUGAAGGUGAAACCUGCCCAAUGAUUUAAUACACUAAAUUUAAAAAUUUAAUAAAAAAAAAAUUAAAUGGCUGCAGUAACUAUGACUGUAAAAAUGUAGCAUAAUAAUUCGCCACUUAAUUAGUGGAUAGUAUGAACGGUUUAACGAAAAUUCCACUGUCUUAUAUAAUAAAAAAAAAAAUUUAAAUCAUAGUUAAGAUGCUAUGUAAAACUGUAAGACGAAAAGACCCUAUAAAGCUUAACUAUAUUUCUUAAUAAUUUAAUAAUAAAAAAUUAAAAUAAUUAUUUAUUAAGAUUUGGUAGUUUCAUUGGGGCGAUGGUCUCUAAAAAUAAACAGAGAUAAACCUAUAUAAUAAUAAAAUUUACUGUAUAAUUAAUAAAUUUAACAGUUACAAAGUAGGGUAUAAUGACCCAUUAAUUUUAUAAAAAGAAUUAAUGAUCAAUAAAUAAAAGCUACUUUAGGGAUAACAGGAUAAUAAUUUCUUAGAGACCCAAUCGAAGAAAAAGUUUAUCACCUCGAUGUUGAAUUAAGAUAACCUAAUGACGCACCAGUAAUUAAAGGUAGGUC